CGGCCAAAUCACAGCUCUGAGUGGGGAACCACAUUUGAACAGACUAGUCCCUUCUGCCUUCUGGGCAGGUCACAUCUGAAAGAUUAUCCUCUUUGAAUCAGUUUGAAUGUUCUAGUGACCAGGCCACACAGUUUCUCUUGACAUUUAAAAAUAAAGCUUCCAGUCUUGUCACUAAUGGAUUUGGGGUCCAGUACCCUUAAAAUCACCUCAGAGCUGCCUGAAUCCAUAGACUACUUGCAGAAUCACUGGUUUUACUUGGAUCAAGCCAUCUGAGAAGAAAAAAGCAUUGGAAAUGGAGGAGACUGUCAAGGACAAUAAUAAAUGAUGUUUGGCUGAAAUAAAAACUCAAAGCCCCCACAAUAUUGAACCACCAUUCCAGACCCAGCCAAGGUUUGGAACAUAAAGUGAGCUGAAUGAAUCAGCCUGCAGGCAACCCAGAGAAAGUAAUUGUUCAUCCUAGCAGCACGGCUGCUUUUCUGCUUAGCAUCUGAACAAGUUAAUUUGGAAACACAGCCUUCUGGAAAGAAAUGGCGCUUCUCUCAGCAUCCCAUGGAUUCAUGAGCAGCUCCUUGAAUGCAAAUAUUGCCUGAUAUUUUCAUGGUGAGGGAGAAUGGGAGAAACAAGAAAUGAUUACAUUAUUGUGGAUACUUUUAUUCACCACAAUGGAAGUCUUUAAACAUAAAGUUGAUGUACAUUAAGAGGCAAGACCCAGGGCAUAUCAUCUAAAGAAGAUUCCUCCCACUUUUC
rnacentral:lncRNA from 10 species